AGACUUAUCCUCUUCUCCCCCAUCGGUCCACGCCACACUCUCCUCCCAGACUUGUCCUCUUCUCCCCUCCCUCCUUCGAAACAUAGGGCACGACGCAGCGCCUCAACACGCAGUCCACGCCGCCGCCGCCAUAGCGCCACAAUCCACACAGCUCCUCCGCACGGCCGCAUCCGCCGCAUCCACCCAUCCCACCGCCGCACCUCCGCUCCGCUGCAUCCACGAAUCGGUGGUGACGAAAUAGAGCAGAGCUCGUUGGCCUCCACGGUGCACAUCCACAGCCGGGCUCCCACUCGCGAUGAGAAGCAUAGACUCGCCUUCCUCCAGAUCUGGCGGCACCACCUCCUCCGAAUCUGCCAUGGCGGAUGCCACAGCUGCUUACCUGUUCACGAUGAGGUUUACACUGCAUCAGUCUUGAACUCAUCGGCAAUGGCCAGGUACGCAUCACCCCUCCUGCACGUUGUGUGCCCCCAAUCCAUGAGUCCAUCCAUCCAUCCCUCUUUGCCUCGAUUCUGAUUCAGCAGGUGCCGUGGAGUUGAAGGGGCGGCGUUCAUCUCAGUUGCAUUAACGGUAUAGGAUAGAUCUAGUGGUGAGGAACAGGAUUAUAAGCUAGGACAGGUGAGUUCAAGUUUUUGCGUGGGUGCCUUAUGGAUGAGCACUACGAGAGAUGAGACAAAUGGCUUCUCGAUGAGGCAGAAGUGUAUCGAUUAUUUCUGUAGGGGCUUAAUUCAGCGUUCAUAGUGAACUCUAGAUUUUCAUUUGUUCUGACAAAUAUUUUGCACAUUUCAGAUCUCAAACUUUUUAACUGGAAAUCUCUUCUCACACUCACAGUGGAAUGUGCGUCCGUCUGUUAGCUUGCCCCCAUAUACCACUAGAUUUGUCUGAUGGAUGUCCAGGAGCAACUGAGUGCCCAAUCACUAUUGACUGCUCUAUAGAGCAACUUAAGCCUUGGAAUUAUGAGUGGCAAAUCACUAUUGACUGCUCUAUAGAGCAACUUAAGCCUUGGAAUUAAUUGUUUUUAUUACACCCUGUUUGAAUAAGCUUGAUGGAUUAAUUUUCUUAACAAUGAUUUGGUGCUCAAAAUAAAAAUUUGAUUUGUCCUUGAACCUGUGUUAUGUGAAGUAGUGCAUAGUCUGUUCCCAAGUGCUUAAGUCAUGUAUGUGUUAUGCUUGUUUCCUCUCUGUAGAAUGCAUCAUAGAAAACUAUUAUACUACUGUAUUUUUACUUAUUUCUUGCUAUGGUGAGAAACUCCAUUGUUUGGACAGAUCUUUAUACCAAACAGAAAAUAAACAUGUUUGCACAUAUCUUAAUUUUUUUGGUGUUAUUGUUGCUAGGCUAACAUGGAGGCAUAUCUUGAUCAACAAAUAGAAGGAUAAGCUCCAAAGACGCCACUUGAGGCUGUAGCUCAUGUUGUGCCGAAUUCAACAUUUCUUCAGAAUGGUGGUAUGCAGCUCACAACAAAGAAGAAAAAUACCAAGGUUGCUAAAAUGACUACUCGUGUGAAUGAUCUUUAGAGUGAACUGCAAGCUGCUCAGAUGGGAUCAGCUGGACUGUUGUGUUGCCGCUGUUAUGAGCUGUUGUUGUCACUGUUACGCUAUUGUGUUGCUACUAUUAUGCAAAUUUGAGACAACAGUUUCUUGAUUUGUAAGACUUUAGAGUGAAAUUAUUAUAAUGUCUUGCUGUGUUCGAGCAGCAGAUUCUUGAAUUAUAAGACUGGUGAUUUGGAGAUAAUAUUAUGUGAUGUAUGGGCUAUUUCUGUGAUGUA